GAAAAUAAUGACAGCUGACUUUAACUAAAAUUUCAGCCUUAGAAAUUACUAAUAUUCUGUGCUUACUCUCUGCGAUCCUUCGCACAGAUGUUUAUAUUGUUUAUUCUACAUAUAAAAAACACACACGCGGUGGGGGGUUAUGCGUUACAGUUUAUAGGAGACCAUAUACUCACAUGUGAUGAGAACAAAUUACAAAUCUGAUUACAGAUCUGAUGCAACUCUAACAUAUACAAACAUGCCCAGGUAUCAACUGGCAGAAAACUGGGAAAAUAACCCCGAAAAAACGACGCGGUAUGCAAAACUGACGGAUGUACAUCAAAGUUUGACCCUUAAAGAACCUCAUUUCUUCAUGUUGUCUCACGAGCUGAUCUGGAGAAACAUUUAUCACGCGCCAUGUACUGAUGGCCACGUAUAUCCGUCCUCGAAUUGAAAUUAUUUAUCGCCUGGUCUUGUAUAAGCGGGACGGUUAACCGUAACAAUUACUGUUUAAAGGAAGGAUGAGCAGCGACAUGCAUACCGUAUUUACUCCAAUAAGCGCCCCCUUUAAACCAAAAGUAUUAAUCCUUGAAUGCCCCCCCCUUACCCUAGUAAAUAUCAUAAUCUAUUGCUGUUCAUAUUCAAAACACAUUCUUCCGCACUGGAGCACAUAGACUCUGGACAAGAAAGAGGCAAUUUUUUUUCGAUAGAUGAAAACCUGCUCCAAGAAGUACGAAUAUAGAGACAGAGAAACGGUUGUAGUAGUAUAAAACUGAUUAAUCAAAAGAAAAAAAAAAAAAAACGUUCGGCCUUUUUGUGCGAAGCUCCUCCUUUUGAAUGUGUCUCCCUCGCAAGCACCCCAUGUGAGAGUCGAAAAAAUUUAAUAAUUGCUGGGGCGCUUAUUCGAGUAAAUACAGUACUAUCUUGUGUACUUUUGGUGGGUCAUGAUUGACAAAAGCUAAUUAUAAAUAAAAACAGAACACAAA